rfam:Rhodoluna lacicola strain MWH-Ta8 chromosome, complete genome.
UUCGGCGGCCAUAGCGGAGGGGAAACGCCUGGUUACAUUCCGAACCCAGAAGCUAAGACCUCCUGCGCCGAUGGUACUGCAAGGGUGACCUUGUGGGAGAGUAGGACACCGCCGGAC